AACGCACAUUGCGCCCUUUGGUAUUCCGAAGGGCAUGCCUGUUCGAGCGUCAUUAUCACCCCUCAAGCCCCGCGCUUGGUGUUGGACGGCCGGUCGAGCGAUCGACCCCUCCGAAAGACAAUGACGGCGGCCUGUGGUUCCCCCGGUACACUGAGCUUUCUGAGCACGUACCGGACCAGGGCACCCGGGACCCGGUCUUCUCCCCUCAGCGGGAACUUUUUCAAUGGUUGACCUCGGAUCAGGUAGGAAUACGCGCUGAACUUAA
rnacentral:misc_RNA from 1 species